ACAGGCAGGCCUUGUUGCUAGCCCUGGGCUGCAGAAGUCUGGCCAGGGCCCAGCUUCAACUUAACUCCUUCCUGGACCAACUCACUGAUGAGCCAUUGAGCCAGUCCCACUGAGGGUCUCCAUACCCUGUAAAGGCUGUGGUGCUCGAGAUGAUGGGAAACUGAGGCCUGAGUCUCCAGACUGGUUUCCCUGGAUCUUUUCCAACAUGUGGAGCUCUGACUUCCCCAAAAAAGCAACCAGAGAUCUCACCAACCAAGAGUUUUUCAGUUCCAGCAAGAGAGAAAGCAAACUUGGAAGACCAAACCUUUGCUCUUCUGGGAAGAACAUCAGAGAAGUGAUCGCAUGCCCCUCUUAGUGCAUUAGAUCAAGAGCUACUAUCUGUCGGUACGAUUUAUUACUGGUCAUGUGAACGUUGAUCACUUGGUUCAAAGGAGGGUCAACUGGCUUUCUCCUUUGCAAGGCACUGCUUUGUAAUUAGUGUCCUGGGGGAGAUUCUGAAUACCAGGCAUAGAUGUACAUUUCUCAUCGUGCACAGUUUUUAAAACACGUUACCAAACA